CUAUACACGCAAGUCGUGCGGUUUUCACCUUCGGGUGAGAGUAGCGGCGGACGGGUGAGUAACACGUAGGUAACCUGCCUGUUAGACUGGGAUAACUACCGGAAACGGUAGCUAAGACCGGAUACGUCAAUUUGGGGGCAUCCUUGAAUUGAGAAAAGCGGAGCAAUCUGCUGCUAAUAGGUGGACCUGCGGCGCAUUAGCUAGUUGGUGAGGUAGAGGCUCACCAAGGCGACGAUGCGUAGCCGACCUGAGAGGGUGAACGGCCACACUGGGACUGAGACACGGCCCAGACUCCUACGGGAGGCAGCAGUAGGGAAUCUUCGGCAAUGGACGAAAGUCUGACCGAGCAACGCCGCGUGAGUGAUGAAGGUUUUCGGAUCGUAAAACUCUGUUGCCAGGGAAGAAUGGCCAGAAGAGUAACUGCUUUUGGUUUGACGGUACCUGAGAAGAAAGCCCCGGCUAACUACGUGCCAGCAGCCGCGGUAAUACGUAGGGGGCAAGCGUUGUCCGGAAUUAUUGGGCGUAAAGCGCGCGCAGGCGGUCAUUUAAGUCUGGUGUAUAAACCAAGGGCUCAACCUUUGGACGCAUUGGAAACUGGGUGACUGGGAGUUG
rnacentral:rRNA from 1 species